CUAGAUGUCGUUUUAGUUUAUUCAUCGGUCUAGAUGUCUUUUCAGUUUAUUCAUCGGUCUAGAUGUCGUUUUAGUUUAUUCAUCGGUAAAGAUGUCGUUUUAGUUUAUUCAUCGGUCUAGAUGUUGUUUUAGUUUAUUCAUCGGUAAAGAUGUUGUUUUAGUUUAUUCAUCGGUCUAGAUGUCGUUUUAGUUUAUUCAUCGGUAAAGAUGUCGUUUUAGUUUAUUCAUCGGUCUAGAUGUCGUUUUAGUUUAUUCAUCGGUAAAGAUGUCGUUUUAUUUAUUCAUCGGUCUAGAUGUCGUUUUAGUUUAUUCAUCGGUCUAGAUGUCGUUUUAGUUUAUUCAUUGGUAAAGAUGUCGUUUUAGUUUAUUCAUUCAACCAUUGUAAAAAAACAAUUCAAAGACAUCAUGUUUAUCAAUGCCAGGGUUGCUGCAUUACUAUCUGGCUGGGGACUGUAAUUUUACUAUACUGUUUAUCAACACUAUCAUAACAUUAUGUUUCGUAGACAGCAUCAUGCUUCGUACCGAGCGGUCAGGGCUGUCACGCGGCUAUUGCAGUCCUCCGCCUCUCCUCUGUCCUCCCAGCAAUCUUUACUCUUCCCUCGAUCUCUCUCUCCUGGCCAGCUCAUGGACAGCAUCUUCCCUCGUUCCAGGACACUGGAAGACUAGAAAUGAAUUAGAUUUAGGAAGCGCAAGAUAUGGAGGGUAUCCCUUGUAUGUAAAACCUUUAGUUACUAACAAUUGUGUAUGUGGUAUCUUUCAACCAGAGAUGUAGUGUUAACUCACGGAAACGCUGUUUCAGCACCUUCUUUUUAUUUUGAGUGAGUGUUGAGUCACCUAUUUUCUAUUUCAGAAACAUACUUUAAAAGUAAAGGGAGCGGUACUUUAUUCACUGUGACCAGCAUUUACCCAUGUUAUUUUAUGUUGAACUACAUCACUGCUUUCAAUGCAAAACUAGCCACUGAACAGAGCACUUGACUUAAUGAAAUUCCAUUAAUGGAAAACGUUUGUUUGUAACACAGCUUCACUGACACACAUAGCACACUUCCCUCCAACAAACAGAUCACAGGCCUAAACUGUAUCACCUGUCCCCAUCCUUCAGUAACUGACAGUAUUCAAACCCUGACCCUUGCCUUCUCCCACCUCAUCCCCCUCUGCUCUCUAUGUCCCCAUCUCCUCUCCCUGUCCAAAAACCCCUGCCCCAUCCAUAAAUAACAGACAGCAUUCAACUGUAACCUUUGACACACAUACACACACCUUUGUCUUCUCUCUCUUUUCCUCUUCCUGUUUCUCUAGCUCGGCGAUGCGCAGGCUCAGCGCCUCCCAGUGCAUUAUGGGUAGGCCCAGGUCAUCCUCUCCGUACGAGCCCUCCUGCCACACCAACGCUGCUCCCUCUGCAUCUUCAUCCUCCUCCUCUUCAUCACCUUCCUCUUCAGCCUCGCUCUCUUUCUCCUCUUCCUCCAUCUCGUCGCUCUCUUUCUCCUCUUCCUCCAUCUCGUCGCUCUCUUUCUCCUCUCCCCGCUCCCUCUCUCUCUCCUUUACUCCCUCCCUCUCUCUCUCCUUUACUCCCUCCAUCUCUUGUGUCA
ensembl:lncRNA